rnacentral:lncRNA from 10 species
CUGCUACAUACAUGAUAGAUGGCCAUGUGAUGCUUAAUGAAUAAAUGAACAAAUGGAGUAGGACCACCCUGAACUCUUGUUUCUAUGGAGAAGAUCUGAGAGAAGAUUGUCCUGCACAGUUCAAUAUUAAAUGGAGUUUCUACCCUAGCAUGAAAGGAGGAAGAGAGAAAAUCGGAUCCAAGAGAAAUUCGGCUCCAACAUUCCCCAAAUAUUAGAGUGGUUAUGUUGAAGAUGUAAAUAUUCUCCCUGCUGUGAGUAUUACUGCAGCUGCCCAAAGAUGCUUUAUUUUAAAGAUGUGGAUACAGGAAGAUAAAAGCAUCAGAAACACUGCAUGGGAAAAUCAUUCAGACUGCAGCUUCCUGGUUUUAGACAUCCCCACUGGCAAUUGGGACAUCUAUUUUGGAGAUGUAAUUGAAAAGACUGAAGAAUGUACUGAGGACCUUCUGGCUGAUAGAAGCUGACAAAGAAGCCAAGAUUGGUGAAGAUUUCUGCAAUACCUGAGUUUCUAAUCACAACAACAAAAAUGACCUGGAUAGAAAACCUUGGAGAUAGUAAUUGAUGGGCAUCACGUAGCUGGUUGCUGGAGAAACACUGAAGCAGAACUUGUAAUAUCUUCAAAACAAGUGAAGGCCAGGAAUCAGAAAUGCUUCUGAAGGUCAGCUGCCUCUCCAGCCAUCUAUGAAGAGCUAUGGUUCUGAAUCCUGGCUAAUAUCAGAAUCAUCCUGGGAGCUUUUGAAAAUCCUGAUGCUCAAGUCACACUCCAUACUCAGACAAGAAGCUGAGUCUCAGAGAGAGAAAAUGACUCAUCCAAGCAAGGUUUGAGACCUAAGAAAGGUUGUGUAAGCAGAAGCUGGAAGACCCUUGAAAAGAGCAUUCAUUCAAGAAAUGAAGCAUGAGAUAGGAUGGAAGGAGGGAAGAAAGACAAGCAUAUGGCAUAUCAGGUCUCUUCCAGUGCUAAAGGCUGCCUAUGAUACUCAUCUGACCUGAUUUCUCCUGCACAGUGUUGCAACUGACGAGUAGCAGACUUGCCCUUGCCUGCAUUUGGGGGGAUGGCUGAGACUUUCCUUACAGAAAGCCCUACUUUCAGCAUGAACACUAACCCAGUUUAUUGGCUCAGGGUGUAGAGAGUUGCCUUGUCACUGGCGAAGUCAGAUGCAGCCAGUACCAGAGCUCUGCACUAGCUGUGAACACUAAGGAAGAAUAGCUGAGUGAGGAAGCAGAGUGCCAGGCAGCACAUCCUUCUUCAGGUGUUUCCUGCCCUGGGCCAGAUCCCAGGCACUGCAGCAAUAUCUCUGCAUGAUCUAGGGCUCCUGGAAAUAGCCCAUUAAGGGCAAAACUCGCUGCCCAGAAAACAUUAGAACAUUAAAAGAGCAGGGUCUCAUCUGAUUGUCUUGGUUUCCUGAGGCUCAUUCAGUCUGUGUCCACUGGUUUCAGUCUGAGUUCUCUGCACUUUGAGGAUGCAGACAGUGAAGUUCUCCCAUGGUUAUAGGGGGAGAGAUCAUAGGAAUGCUAUGGAAAGAGGCCUGAAGUCAGAGCCAGCUAGUGGUUAUUAUUUAUUAAUUGCCUGUGAGGUGCCAGGCGCACAUAUUAGACCAUAUGUGAUUGCAGUGAGCCACCCGGAUCCCCUUCAAGCUGCUGCUGCAGCUGAUGGAAGUCCUAUUGGCAGACAGCCUUCUCUCAUCAGCCCCUUCAGGACUUGCCUCAGUUGCAGAGAGCUGCCUUCCCCAAGAUCACACCCUUCCCUGGGGACUCACAACCAAUGGCUGAUCCAGAAGAAUCCAUAAAGCCCGUAUCAUUUCAGCCCAAUUUAGGACAGCUUUGUUGAGCCAUUAGACCUACAUGCAGCCCAACCUCUCCUUCUACCCACUUCUUCUUUCUUCCCUUUCCUUCCACGGUGUCUGUUCCAAGCACUUGCCUUAAUAAACAUGUAACAGGUUAAACUCUGUCUCGAUGUCUGCUUCAAGGAGAACCCAACCUGUGACAGUGAUAACAGAUAAAAACAAAGGACAUCACUUUUCCCUGCCUUACUUUCCAUUUACCACUAAAAAGGGUCUUGGACUUGCCCACUCAGUUUCUUCUCUUUCUUCACUCUUUGGAGAUGGUCCCUCCACUACCACAGACACAAAAAAGAAGAGUUGGGAAGAGAGAGGGGUGAAAACAUUUGGGGCACUGCAGGCCUAGUGCUAGGUGACUGAAGACUACCUGGAGGGUGCAGGAAGUGACUGUUUCUCCAUCAUGUAUUGUAUUGCUAUAGUGACUUAAAAAACAAGUAGGUGAUUUGUGUUUUUUUGGUUUUUUUUUGUUUUUUUGGUUUUUUUUUUGAGACAGAGUCUCGCUCUGUCACCCAGGCUGGAGUGCAGUGGCGCUAUCUUGGCUCACUGCAAGCUCCACCUCCUGGGUUCAC